rnacentral:rRNA from 1 species
ACGAACGCUGGCGGCGUGCUUAACACAUGCAAGUCGAACGGAAAGGCCCAGCUUGCUGGGUGCUCGAGUGGCGAGCGGGUGAGUAACACGUGGGUGAUCUGCCUCUAACUUCGGGAUAAGCUUGGGAAACUGGGUCUAAUACCGGAUAGGACAAUCGUUUAGUGUCGGUUGUGGAAAGUUUUUUCGGUUAGGGAUGAGCCCGCGGCCUAUCAGCUUGUUGGUGGGGUAAUGGCCUACCAAGGCGUCGACGGGUAGCCGGCCUGAGAGGGUGGACGGCCACAUUGGGACUGAGAUACGGCCCAGACUCCUACGGGAGGCAGCAGUGGGGAAUAUUGCACAAUGGGCGCAAGCCUGAUGCAGCGACGCCGCGUGGGGGAUGACGGCCUUCGGGUUGUAAACCUCUUUCGACAGGGACGAAGCUUUGGUGACGGUACCUGUAUAAGAAGCACCGGCUAACUACGUG